GAUGAACGCUGGCGGUAGGCUUAACACAUGCAAGUCGAGGGGCAGCACCAGGUAGCUUGCUGUCUGGGGGGCGACCGGCGCACGGGUGAGUAACGCGUAUGCAACUUGCGCUAUACAGGAGGCUAAACCGAAGAAAGACGGACAAAUAAUGCGUAUGCCCACAACUUGGCAUCGAGUGGUGAGGAAAGAAAUUCGGGAUAGGAUAGGCAUGCGUCCCAUUAGCUUGUGGGUGAGGUAACGGCUCACCAAGUCAAGGAUGGGUAGGGGAAGUGAGGGGUUUGUCCCCCACACUGUGACUGAGCCCCGUGCCAGUCUCCUACGGCAGGCAGCAGUGCGGAAGGUUGGUCAAUGGGAGCGAGCCUGAACGAGCCAAGUCGCGUGAAGGAUGACUGUCUUCUGGAUGGUAACCUUCUUUUAUUCGGGAGUAACAAGAGGCACGUGUGAGUCCCUGCCUGUACCGUAUGAAGAAGCACCGGCUAACUCCGUG
rnacentral:rRNA from 1 species